GUUUUUUUUUGGAGAAAAUUGGAGAGAACAUGACUCUCCAUUUCUCUCUAAAGAGGCCGGCCACCUUGGGGGUGCAUCUUGCAAUCCCACUACUCCAAGGUCACUCAUUUCUUCUCCAAUCUCUCCUUGUUGAAGAGACUUAGAGGUUCCCUAUUUUGGGAACUUGGAGAAACCUAUUCAUCCAUCCAAAUCCAUAGAUUUAAGAUGCAAGGAAUGAAGGACCUCUCUUUGGGUGAUUAGCCUUUGCUUAUGCAAAGAGGAAUCUACAAAGGUAUAAAUUUCAACUCACUUUGUUUUGAGUUGAGUUUUGGUUCACCAAUCUACUAGGCUUUGAAUUUCAUGGUUAAUGUGUUGUUUUUAAGUGCAUGCUAGCAUGAUUCCGCCUUUAAUUGUUAAUUGCAUGCUUAUUGAUGUUGCUUAAAUAAACAUGUUUUCACAAAAUAUUCCUUCAGGCUUCACCCUAUCAUGGGGGAGUACAAAGUGCAUGCUUAUACUCAGGAGGAAUCCAUAAACAUAUGAUGAGGUUGAUGUAGGCAACGAGGAUGGCCAAUAUCGUAUCAUUGUGAGGCUAUUCUUGAACCCCUUCAUGAACUAAGCAUGGUGGGAAUGACUUAACUAAGUGCAAUGGAGCCAAUAUCAUAUCAUUGUGAGGUGACAUUCUCUAGAGGCCAAAUAAGAUGGGUACUUGCAUUAGUUGCAAAUGAGUAAGCGUACUCUCUCAUUAUUAUUAAUGCUAGCCAAUAUCAUAUCAUUGUGAGGUGGGCUUGGUAAUAGUGAGCCUCCCAUAACCUACUAAGAGUUUCCUCCAAAACUCUCGAAUUCCAAUGAGGGAUAUGGAAUUUGCCAAAAAUAGUGGGUGGUGCUAUUUGAUUUAAAGACUCAAAUCAAAUGGCUUAAAAUCAAUCAAUUUAUAUUCGUUAUGUAUUUGUUUACCAAUAUAUUUGCAAACGCUAUCCAACACUUGACAAAUAAAAACCAAAAGUUUAGUUUCCGGACUUGGUAGUACAAAACCAUAGAUUGUCUUUAAUGGCUUGUAAAUGUACCUAAGUAGUCUCAUCCUCACAAUCUUCCUAAUGAUAAUGUAUCAUUGGAAGAACAUGUUAGAAAAGUCUAUCAUGAAGAGGACAACACAAACAACCAAUGCUUAAUCCUUUGUUAAAUGAACAAAGGAACUUACGAAGAUUAGCAUAAAGAAAAUGACACUUUUAGUGUUAUUAGUUCUUCACUUAUAAAUCGUUGUAUGAAGAAAUAAUGAGUUGUUUUGAACAACCCUUAGUCAAUGCAAACACUUAGUGCUUGUUUCUUUGUUACAUGAACAAAGAACUUGAGAAGAAAGCACAAAGGCAUGGACACUUAAUGUGCCAUGACUCUUCACUUACAAUUGUUGUGUGUGAAGAAAUAAGAGUUGCCUUGUACAACUCUUUAAAGUUUGUAAUUAUGUUUAGAACAUAAUGGUUGGUUGACAAAAAUAGUCCAUCAACAUGGACUUAUGAUGAUUUUGAAUCAUUGAGUGUUGAAGUGUUAAAACACUUCUAGAGACGGGAACUAGGCAAGGACUUCACCUUUGUGUCCCUAUCCUAAUCGUUCACUAAGUUUAUUGUAAACUAUGUAGUGUACAAUAAAACACAUGCUCUCCAAAAUGUUUGAUGUGUAUAACACAAUUGAAAUAAGUUUCAAGAGAGAUAGUGGGAGUUUAGGGACCUUGACUAUGGUAGUCAAAGGAGAAGUCAAAUGAAGAAAGCGAA
rnacentral:lncRNA from 1 species